UGUUGAUGUUAGGUAGGCAGCUACAGUAGCUGAAUGAUGUUAACAUCUUCAGGUUUUGUUUCAUUAAAUGUAUUUUAUUUUAUCUGGGUGCUUACGUCACCUACUAACACCCUGGUACUACCCAUAGAUCCCGCUCUCCUCAGUCUGAGAAAACACUGAGAGAGAAAGAACAACUUGUCAGGUGGUGCAUUGGAGACUGAUGUGUUCCUGUCCUGUCUUUUCAUAAUACUAUUGCAGAUCGACAUAAAAGCCUAAAAGACAGCCGUGGUGUCGCUCUUCAUUUCUUGGUUCUCCUGUGGUGCAUAAGAAACCCGCUACAGAUUGGUGCCGUGACCCGGAUCAACAGAUCAGCUGCAGCAGAUCGCCGGGGGACCCCUAAACAGAACUGGAUCGACAUCACACGUUUAAAACAUUUGAGGGCAAGAACAACUUGUCAGGUGGUGCAUUGGAGACUGAUGUGUUCCUGUCCUGUCUUUUCAUAAUACUAUUGCAGAUCGACAUAAAAGCCUAAAAGACAGCCGUGGUGUCGCUCUUCAUUUCUUGGUUCUCCUGUGGUGCAUAAGAAACCCGCUACACAAACAUUGGUCAAACUGCAUCUCAAUCAUUACCCUCACCAUGGCAACAGUCAAGAGACAGAGCAGCAGCUUGCUUGUCAACAGUGGCACAUGGCUCCAGAACAGCGUAAAAAUGCC
rnacentral:lncRNA from 1 species